AGUCAGGGUCAGCCCUGCCUGGGCCUGUGGGAGGGCAGCAGGUGUGCUAACCUCCAGGAACGAAAGGGCUUCCUGGGGACCGGCGAUACACAGUGAUGCCGGGUUCUAAGCAGAAGUCUGUGCCUGGUGUCCAAUUCAAGGUGGUCACAGCCACUUGACCAUGCCUCCCUCGUGGUGGCAUCUCCUGACUGACUGCACCAGGCUUCCUAGACACAUGGCAAGUGUGGUCCAGUCUGGGGACAGGCAGGGAUGGGAGGGAAGAGUGGGGACAGUGGCGCUCCAACCUGCUCAGCACCCUUGGAAGAGGCCAGCCCCUGGCCAGGGGCUCCAAACACCCCCGCCACCAGUAAUCCUAAACGUCGUCCCCAUCUCUAGCCUCUCCCUUGGCGCUGGGCUGCCUGGGAAGAGAAGCAGGAGCCACCCCCCCAAUCCUACUGGGGAAGCCAGUGGAGGCUCAGAAUGUUCUCCACAAGACUUGCUGUGGAGAAGGCAGCUAGGGCGGUGAGCUUAAGGCCAGCUCCAGGCCAGAGAGACCUGCUUCCAAAGCCCAGGGCUUCCCUCUCCUUGGCCCAGGCAGAGGUUGCAUGGCGGGGACUGGGCCUGUCCCGUGGUGGUGUG
rnacentral:lncRNA from 1 species